rnacentral:snRNA from 1 species
AGAUGUGAGGACAAUCUGGCUGAGAUAUCUGUCACCCAGUUGAUAGCCUGUAUUGAUUGGGCUAAUCUGGUUGACUAGGCUGAUGCCCCUUUCCUCCUUCAUUGUUCCAUGUGUGUGCCUCUGAGGGUCCAUGAUCAGAGAUUGACCCUUUUGGGGGUUUGGUGGU